AUACGGAGGGUGCGAGCGUUGUUCGGAAUUAUUGGGCGUAAAGCGCGUGUAGGCGGUUUGUUAAGUCUGAUGUGAAAGCCCUGGGCUCAACCUGGGAAGUGCAUUGGAUACUGGCAGACUUGAAUACGGGAGAGGGCAGUGGAAUUCCUGGUGUAGGAGUGAAAUCCGUAGAUAUCAGGAGGAACACCAGUGGCGAAGGCGACUUUCUGGACUGACCCUGACGCUGAGGUGCGAAAGCGUGGGUAGC
rnacentral:rRNA from 1 species